rnacentral:tRNA from 1 species
GCUGCGAUGGCCGAGUGGUUAAGGCGUUGGACUUGAAAUCCAAUACGGUCUCCGUGCGUAGGUUCGAAUCCUGCUCGCAGCG